rnacentral:rRNA from 1 species
AAGAGAAAGCAGUAGCCACGGGAAUACGUAGGGUGCAAGCGUUAAUCGGAAUUACUGGGCGUAAAGCGUGCGCAGGCGGUUUGUUAAGACAGAUGUGAAAUCCCCGGGCUCAACCUGGGAACUGCAUUUGUGACUGGCAAGCUAGAGUCUGGCAGAGGGGGGUGGAAUUCCGCGUGUAGCAGUGAAAUGCGUAGAUAUGCGGAGGAACACCGAUGGCGAAGGCAGCCCCCUGGGCCAACACUGACGCUCAUGCACGAAAGCGUGGGAGCAAACAGGAUUAGAUACCCCCGUAGUCCCUGUCUCUUAUACC